rnacentral:rRNA from 1 species
UACGUAGGGGGCAAGCGUUGUCCGGAAUCACUGGGCGUAAAGCGCACGUAGGCGGAUUGCUAAGUCAGGGGUGAAAUCCUGGAGCUCAACUCCAGAACUGCCUUUGAUACUGGCGAGCUUGAGUGCGUGAGGGGUAACCGGAACGAGUAGUGUAGCGGUGAAAUGCGUAGAUAUUACUCGGAAGGCCAACGGCGAAGGCAGGUUACUGGUACGCAACUGACGCUGAGGCACGAAAGCGUGGGGAGCAAACAGG